rfam:Wolbachia endosymbiont of Drosophila ananassae gdan_435, whole genome shotgun sequence.
GAUGACGGUUGUCAGGCUAGCUGUCAUCCCAGUGCCUAGACACUGGGAUCCAGAAAUUUUAAUUGUAAGUAAGCAUACUGGGUUGAUAAGUAUAAAAGUAGCUAGAAAAUAAACAUUUUUGAUGAGAUUAUAUGGAAAACUGGAUGCCAGUGUCAAGCACUGGCAUGACACCCUUCACGGACUUUUA